UGGAUCAUGUUGUUUAAUUCGAUGAUACGCGAAGAACCUUACCAGGACUUGACAUCCCUCUGACAGUCCCUUAACCGGGAUCUCCUUCGGGCAGAGGUGACAGGUGGUGCAUGGUUGUCGUCAGCUCGUGUCGUGAGAUGUUGGGUUAAGUCCCGCAACGAGCGCAACCCUUGUCUUUAGUUGCCAUCAUUUAGUUGGGCACUCUAGAGAGACUGCCGAGGAUAACUCGGAGGAAGGUGGGGAUGACGUCAAAUCAUCAUGCCCCUUAUGUUCUGGGCUACACACGUGCUACAAUGGCUGGUACAAAGAGACGCAAGACGGUGACGUGGAGCAAAUCUCAAAAACCAGUCCCAGUUCGGAUUGUAGGCUGCAACUCGCCUACAUGAAGUUGGAGUUGCUAGUAAUCGCAGAUCAGAAUGCUGCGGUGAAUGCGUUCCCGGGUCUU
rnacentral:rRNA from 2 species